GGUCCGGUAGUUCAGUUUGGUUAGAACGCCUGCCUGUCACGCAGGAGGUCGCGAGUUCGAGUCUCGUCCGGACCGCCA
rnacentral:tRNA from 1 species